ACAGCUGUGACAGGUGGUGCAUGGUUGUCGUCAGCUCGUGUCGUGAGAUGUUGGGUUAAGUCCCGCAACGAGCGCAACCCUUGAUUCUAGUUGCCAGCAUUNAGUUGGGCACUCUAGAGUGACUGCCGGUGACAAACCGGAGACGUCAAAUCAUCAUGCCCCUUAUGACCUGGGCUACACACGUGCUACAAUGGAUGGUACAGCAGACGCGAGUAGCAAAUCCCAUACAUUCUCAGUUCGGAUUGCAGGCUGCAACUCGCCUGCAUGAAGCCGGAAUCGCUAGUAAUCGCGGAUCAGCAUGCCGCGGUGAAUACGUUCCCGGGUCUUGCAA
rnacentral:rRNA from 1 species